rnacentral:rRNA from 1 species
AAAUUGAAGAGUUUGAUCAUGGCUCAGAUUGAACGCUGGCGGCAGGCCUAACACAUGCAAGUCGAACGGUAACAGGAAGCGCUUGCUGCUUCGCUGACGAGUGGCGGACGGGUGAGUAAUGUCUGGGAAACUGCCUGAUGGAGGGGGAUAACUACUGGAAACGGUAGCUAAUACCGCAUAACGUCGCAAGACCAAAGAGGGGGACCUUCGGGCCUCUUGC